GGGACGAACGCUGGCGGCGUGCUUAACACAUGCAAGUCGAACGGUAAGGCCCCUUCGGGGGUACACGAGUGGCGAACGGGUGAGUAACACGUGAGCAACCUGCCCUUGACUCUGGAAUAACAGCUGGAAACAGCUGCUAAUACUGGAUACGACCUCCGGCGACAUCGCCUGGAGGUGGAAAGCUCCGGCGGUCAAGGAUGGGCUCGCGGCCUAUCAGCUUGUUGGUGAGGUAACGGCUCACCAAGGCUUCGACGGGU
rnacentral:rRNA from 1 species